GUACCUUCAAGCUCUGCUUGGUGUUGGGUGUUUGUCCCGCCUCUGUGCGUGGACUCGCCUUAAAGCAAUUGGCAGCCGACGUAUUGUUUCGGAGCGCAGCACAAAUUGCGCUUUGUAGCUAUUACGACAGCAUCCAUCAAGCCUUUUUUCAC
rnacentral:misc_RNA from 1 species